UGGGGAAUAUUGGACAAUGGGCGAAAGCCUGAUCCAGCCAUGCCGCGUGUGUGAAGAAGGUCUUCGGAUUGUAAAGCACUUUAAGUUGGGAGGAAGGGCAGUAAGCGAAUACCUUGCUGUUUUGACGUUACCGACAGAAUAAGCACCGGCUAACUCUGUGCCAGCAGCCGCGGUAAUACAGAGGGUGCAAGCGUUAAUCGGAAUUACUGGGCGUAAAGCGCGCGUAGGUGGUUCGUUAAGUUGAAUGUGAAAGCCCCGGGCUCAACCUGGGAACUGCAUCCAAAACUGGCGAGCUAGAGUAGGGCAGAGGGUGGUGGAAUUUCCUGUGUAGCGGUGAAAUGCGUAGAUAUAGGAAGGAACACCAGUGGCGAAGGCGACCACCUGGGCUCAUACUGACACUGAGGUGCGAAAGCGUGAGGAGCAAACAGG
rnacentral:rRNA from 1 species